rnacentral:rRNA from 1 species
GACGAACGCUGGCGGCGUGCUUAACACAUGCAAGUCGAACGGUGAAGCGCCUUCCUUUUUGGUGGGUGUGGAUGAGUGGCGAACGGGUGAGUAACACGUGAGUAACCUGCCCCCUUCUUCUGGAUAACCGCAUGAAAGUGUGGCUAAUACGGGAUAUUCUGGGUCUGUCGCAUGAUGGGUCUGGGAAAGAUAUUGUUUCGGUGGGGGAUGGGCUCGCGGCCUAUCAGCUUGUUGGUGGGGUGAUGGCCUACCAAGGCGGUGACGGGUAGCCGGCCUGAGAGGGUGGACGGACCCGAUGGGACUGAGGCCCGGCCCACCCCCCGGGGGGAGGCGGAGGGGGGGUUUAUUGACCAGGGGGCGCAGGCCGGAGCCAGGCCGGCCGGGGGAGGGAGGGGGGCCUUCGGGUUUGGACCCUUUUUCGGGAAGAAAGAAGGCCUGCCUCGUUUGGGGGGGGGUUGCGGGAAGUUGGAAAAAAGGCCCCGGCUACCUAGUG